AGACUAAAACACCUGCUUCAGAGAGAGCCAUGAAGACACUGAGCACCUUGCUCCUGGUGGGCGCCCUCAUCUUUUGGGCAGAACUACCACCUGCAGCUUUGCAAGGCCAGCCAGACAAAGCUGGGAUGUGCCCCCGCAAUCCAUUUCGGUGCA